CAUCACAAGCAUAUGGGGGAGAACCAAAACCAUUGCAAGCGUAUGGGGGAGAACCAAAACCAUCGCGAGCAAAUGGGGGAGAAUCAAAAUCACAGCAAGCGGAUGGGGGAGAAUCAGAACCAGGAGGAAAAACAUCAUACAAGAAAGUGUCUGUCAAAGAUAAAAUAAAAACAUUUGAAGUGGAUAAGGGAAAAUCUGUCGAUCUGAAGACUAAGGUUACUGACAUACAGAGAGAUGAGAAGAUAGAGGGGAGAUCUGGAGAAACUGAAAUCAAUCCUGCAAACAAUAUCUUGAGUACAUCUGAUGGUGAUGAUAAAGGUGGAUUCAAAGAUGAAUCAGAACCAUUGCAAACGGAUGAGGGAAAAUCAAAACCAACACAAGCGUAUGGGGGAGAACCAAAACCAUCACAAGCAUAUGGGGGAGAACCAAAACCAUCGCGAGCAUAUGGGGGAGAACCAAAACCAUCGCAAGCAUAUGGGGGAGAACCAAAACCACAGCAAGCGGAUGAGGGACAAUCAAAACCACAG